rfam:Flavobacterium branchiophilum FL-15, complete genome.
CCCUAGCCCAGAUGGAAGCGACAUCCUUUUGUUUUUUUCUUUAAAAAACAAAAGAUAUAGCGAACAGCUGGAAUGGCU